AACGAACGCUGGCGGCGUGCCCAAGACAUGCAAGUCGUGCGAGAAAGCUCCUUCGGGAGUGAGUACAGCGGCAUACGGGUGAGUAACGCGUGGGUAACCUACCUCGAGGUCUGGGAUAACCCGGGGAAACCUGAGCUAAUACCGGAUGAGCCCACGAGGUCUUCGGACCAUGUGGGAAAACGGUGGCCUCUGCUUGCAAGCUACCGCCCCGAGAUGGGCCCGCGUCCCAUUAGCUAGNGGUGAGGUAACGGCUCACCAAGGCUCCGAUGGGUAGCUGGUCUGAGAAGACGAUCAGCCACACUGGGACUGAGACACGGCCCAGACUCCGUACGGGAGGCAGCAGUCGGGAAUAUUGGGCAAUGGGCGAAAGCCUGACCCAGCGACGCCGCGUGAGGGAC
rnacentral:rRNA from 1 species